rnacentral:rRNA from 1 species
CCUACGGGUGGCAGCAGUGGGGAAUAUUGGACAAUGGGCGAAAGCCUGAUCCAGCCAUGCCGCGUGUGUGAAGAAGGCCUUCGGGUUGUAAAGCACUUUCAGUGGGGAAGAAAGCCUUGGGGCUAAUACCCUCGAGGAAGGACAUCACCCACAGAAGAAGCACCGGCUAACUCCGUGCCAGCAGCCGCGGUAAUACGGAGGGUGCGAGCGUUAAUCGGAAUUACUGGGCGUAAAGCGCGCGUAGGCGGUCUGAUAAGUCGGUUGUGAAAGCCCCGGGCUCAACCUGGGAACGGCAUCCGGAACUGUCAGGCUAGAGUGCAGGAGAGGAAGGUAGAAUUCCCGGUGUAGCGGUGAAAUGCGUAGAGAUCGGGAGGAAUACCAGUGGCGAAGGCGGCCUUCUGGACUGACACUGACGCUGAGGUGCGAAAGCGUGGGUAGCAAACAGGAUUAGAUACCCCGGUAGUC